rnacentral:misc_RNA from 1 species
GAUGAAGAACGCAGCGAAAUGCGAUAAGUAGUGUGAAUUGCAGAAUUCCGUGAAUCAUCGAAUCUUUGAACGCAUAUUGCGCUCUUUGGUAUUCCGAAGAGCAUGCUUGUUUGAGUAUCAGUAAACACCUCAAAGCUUUUGGAUUUUUUAAUCGAAAAGCUUUGGACUUGAGCAAUCCCAACACCAAUCUUUUUGAGAUCGGUGGCGGGUUGCUUGAAAUGCAGGUGCAGCUGGACAUUCUCCUGAGCUAAAAGCAUAUUCAUUUAGUCCCGUCAAACGGAUUAUUACUUUUGCUGCAGCUAACAUAAAGGGAGUUUGACCGUAUUGGCUGACUGAUGCAGGAUUUCACAAGGGUCGGCAACGAUUCUUGUUAAACUCGAUCUCAAAUCAAGUAAGACUACCCGCUGAACUUAAGCAUAUCAAUAAGCGGAGGA